GACCAAGGAUUAUAGAAAUAUUUGCUACUUCUGAGAGAUAAUGAAGCUAAUAAUUAUCACCAAGAUCUAUGAGGUU
rnacentral:snoRNA from 1 species